GACGAACGCUGGCGGCGUGCUUAACACAUGCAAGUCGAACGGAAAGGCCCUGCUUUUGUGGGGUGCUCGAGUGGCGAACGGGUGAGUCACCCGUGAGUAACCUGCCCUUGACUGUGGGAUACCUCCAGGAAACUGGGGCUAAUACCGGAUAAGAGCUCCUGCGGCCUGGUGGGGGUUGGAAAGUUUCGGCGGUUGGGGAUGGACAGGCGGCUUAUCAGCUUGUUGUUGGGGUAGUGGCAUACCAAGGCUUUGACGGGUAGCCGGCCGGAGAGGGUGACCGGCCACAAUGGGACUGAGAUGCGGCCCAGACGCCUACGGGGGGCAGCAGUGGGGAAUAUUGCACAAUGGGCGGAAGCCUGAUGCAGCAACGCCGCGUGCGGGAUGACGGCCGUCGGGUGGUAAACCGCUUUCGCCUGUGACGAAGCGUGAGUGACGGUAAUGGGUAAAUAAGCACCGGCUAACUACGUG
rnacentral:rRNA from 1 species